rnacentral:rRNA from 1 species
CCCUUAGAUGUUCUGGGCUGCACGCGCGCUACACUGAUGCGCUCAACGAGUUUACGACCUUGCCCGGAAGGGUUGGGUAAUCUUUUUAAAACGCAUCGUGAUGGGGAUAGAUUAUUGCAAUUAUUAAUCUUUAACGAGGAAUUCCUAGUAAGCGCGAGUCAUCGGCUCGUGCUGAUUACGUCCCUGCCCUUUGUACACACCGCCCGUCGCUCCUACCGAUUGAGUGGUCCGGUGAAUAAUUCGGACUGCAGCAGUGUUCAGUUCCUGAACGUUGCAGCGGAAAGUUUAGUGAACCUUAUCACUUAGAGGAAGGAGAAGUCGUAACA